rnacentral:rRNA from 1 species
GAUGAACGCUGGCGGCGUGCCUAAUACAUGCAAGUCGAGCGAACAGAUGAGGAGCUUGCUCCUCUGACGUUAGCGGCGGACGGGUGAGUAACACGUGGAUAACCUACCUAUAAGACUGGGAUAACUUCGGGAAACCGGAGCUAAUACCGGAUAAUAUAUUGAACCGCAUGGUUCAAUAGUGAAAGACGGUUUUGCUGUCACUUAUAGAUGGAUCCGCGCCGCAUUAGCUAGUUGGUAAGGUAACGGCUUACCAAGGCAACGAUGCGUAGCCGACCUGAGAGGGUGAUCGGCCACACUGGAACUGAGACACGGUCCAGACUCCUACGGGAGGCAGCAGUAGGGAAUCUUCCGCAAUGGGCGAAAGCCUGACGGAGCAACGCCGCGUGAGUGAUGAAGGUCUUCUGAUCGUAAAACUCUGUUAUUAGGGAAGAACAAAUGUGUAAGUAACUAUGCACGUCUUGACGGUACCUAAUCAGAAAGUCACGGCUAACUACGUG